UGUAGUGGUCAACUAAAAUUGGCCACGGUUUUAGAGUUUUCCCAAUAUAAUCGUUCUGAUUCAUUGGGAGUUAGACCACCGUUAUAC
rnacentral:rRNA from 3 species